rnacentral:rRNA from 1 species
GCAGCGAAAUGCGAUAAGUAAUGUGAAUUGCAGAAUUCAGUGAAUCAUCGAAUCUUUGAACGCACCUUGCGCUCCUUGGUAUUCCUUGGAGCAUGCCUGUUUGAGUAUCAU